CCUACGGGAGGCAGCAGUGAGGAAUAUUGGUCAAUGGGCGCGAGCCUGAACCAGCCAAGUCGCGUGAGGGAAGACGGUCCUAUGGAUUGUAAACCUCUUUUGUCGGGGAGCAAAAGACGCCACGCGUGGCGUUCCGAGAGUACCCGAAGAAAAAGCAUCGGCGAACACCGUGCCAGCAGCCGCGGUAAUACGGAGGAUGCGAGCGUUAUCCGGAUUUAUUGGGCGUAAAGCGCUCGUAGGCGGGAUGUCAAGUCAAGGGUGAAAUCCCCGCGCCAAAAGUGGGAACUGCCUUUGAAACUGGGAAACUGGAGUGUGUGAGAGGUUAGUGGAAUUCCAGGUGUAGGAGUGAAAUCCGUAGAUAUCAGGAGGAACAUCAGUGGCGAAGGCGACUAUCUGGCACAUAACUGACGCUGAGGAGCGAAAGCGUGGGUAGCAAACAGGAUUAGAUACCCUAGUAGUC
rnacentral:rRNA from 1 species